rnacentral:rRNA from 1 species
ACGAACGCUGGCGGCGUGCCUAAUACAUGCAAGUUGAGCGCUGAAGGUUGGUACUUGUACCAACUGGAUGAGCAGCGAACGGGUGAGUAACGCGUGGGGAAUCUGCCUUUGAGCGGGGGACAACAUUUGGAAACGAAUGCUAAUACCGCAUAAAAACUUUAAACACAAGUUUUAAGUUUGAAAGAUGCAAUUGCAUCACUCAAAGAUGAUCCCGCGUUGUAUUAGCUAGUUGGUGAGGUAAAGGCUCACCAAGGCGAUGAUACAUAGCCGACCUGAGAGGGUGAUCGGCCACAUUGGGACUGAGACACGGCCCAAACUCCUACGGGAGGCAGCAGUAGGGAAUCUUCGGCAAUAGACGAAAGUCUGACCGAGCAACGCCGCGUGAGGGAAGAAGGUUUUCGGAUCGUAAAACUCUGUUGGUAGAGAAGAACGUUGGUGAGAGUGGAAAGCUCAUCAAGUGACGGUAACUACCCAGAAAGGGACGGCUAACUACGUG